GCGAAAUGCGAUACGUAGUGUGAAUUGCAGAAUUCCGCGAAUCAUCGAGUCUUUGAACGCAAGUUGCGCCCGAGGCUUGACCAAGGGCAUCCCUGCCAGAGCGUCACC
rnacentral:rRNA from 1 species